rnacentral:rRNA from 1 species
GGUAGUCCUAGCCGUAAACGAUGGAUACUAGGCGUUGAGAGUAUAGACCCUCUCAGUGCGCGUAGCUAACGCGUUAACGUAUCCCCGCGGGGGGAGUACGCACGCAGAGUGUGAAUCUCAAAGAAAAUUGACGGGGGGCGCGCACACGCGGUGGAGUAUGUGGUUUAAUGAGAUGCAACGCGAAGAACCUUACCAGGGCUUGACAUGUCUGGAACUCUGGGGGAACUCGGAGGUGCCUUCGGGAGCCAGAACACACAGGUGCAUGGCUGUCGUCAGCUCGUGUCGUGAGAUGUUGGGGUAAUUAGCGCAACGAGCGCAACCACCCUACCUAGUUGCCAGCAUUUUUGAUGGGCAAUCUAUGGAGGGAGCCGGGGACAAACCGGAGGAAGAAGGGGGGGAUGUCAAGUCGUCAUCAUCCUUAUGUCGGGGGGGGCUCCACUCGUACAACAAUGGGGACAACAGGCAGCAGCGAAAGGAAGUCAAGCAAAUAACAGAAAAAAGGGGUCAGUUCAGAUAGCAGGUGCAACUCGCCUGCGUGAAGGAGGGGAAUCGUAGUAAAGCAGGUCAGCAUUGUGCAGUGAAUUCGUUCCCGGGCCUUGUACACACACCGCGUCACACCAUGGGGGAGGGUCACGCCCGAAGGGGGUACCGCUAACCGCAGGGGAGGGGGACGACGAAGGUAUAGUCAGCGAUUGGUUGU